GCCCGGUUGGCUAAGUGGUAUAGCGUCUCACUAGUAUUCGAUACGGUGAAAUGAGAAGAUCAUGAGUUCGAUUCUCAUACUGGGCA
rfam:Isaria fumosorosea ARSEF 2679 scaffold_24, whole genome shotgun sequence.